GAAAUAAUUACAUACAUUGAUAUACAUAUCUUAGUGUGAAAAGGGAACACAGAACACAUGAGCUGUUGACAUGUAUACCAAUGACUUCUGAUUCUGUCUCAUUCUUCACCUCUGCCAUUACCACUACAGCCGCCAAACGACGACUCUACAGUCGGAAAAUUCCGCCUCUUUUAACACCCUCCAGCCAUCUGCUAUAUAUUUCCACGCUUUCGGCAUUCAUUCUAUUUUUCGUCAAUCAAGCAACCUGAUUGAUUACAUUUACAUGGGAAUUUGAACUCGACAGUUGCAAGAAUUCAGUUCAAUUUAAGGCAAGUGGAUUUCAUUGCACCUGAGUUUGAUUUCUUAAGAGCUGGAAUCUGGUUUGUAUGCGCAGAAGCUCACUGAGAUUAUUGUCGUAUACCGCACAAGGACAUGGGUUGCAGCUGCUUUGGGGCAUUCGCUGGCCUGAAGAAGUCUCGUCAGUCUACAGAGGGCCAAGAAGGGGACUCAAUGCCAAAGAUGAAAGAAUUCUCAUAUAAUGAAUUAAGUAUAGCAACGGAAAAUUUUCAUCGAAGGAACAAAAUAGGGCGAGGAGGUUUUGGGACAGUUUACAAGGUAUUACAAAGUUUCCAUGCCUAUUGUAUCAACUAU